rnacentral:piRNA from 1 species
CACUGCCUUAAAAGUUCUAGACUGUGUUCC